CCUGUGCAGGUAUAUGAAGCAGGACUGCCCAUGUAGCCAAUCAUUUUUUUUUUUUUUUUUUUUUUUUUACACU